rnacentral:rRNA from 1 species
UACAGAGGGUGCGAGCGUUGUUCGGAAUUAUUGGGCGUAAGCGCACGUUAGGCGGUUUGUUAAGUCGGAUGUGAAAUCCCUCGGCUCAACUGAGGAAGUGCAUCCGAAACUGGGCAAGCUUGAGUACGAAAGAGGGUCGCGGAAUUCCCGGAUGUAGAGGUGAAAUUCGUAGUAUCGGAGGAACACCGGUGGCGAAGGCGGCGACCUGGGUCGAUACUGACGCUGAGGUGCGAAAGCGUGGGGAGCAAACAGG